AGGGUUUGAUCAUGGCUCAGAACGUACGCUGGCGGCACGCCUAACACAUGCAAGUCGAACGAAGUAGCAAUACUUAGUGGCAGACGGGUGAGUAACAUGUAGGUAUCUGCCCUUUGGCCUGGAAUAACACGAGGAAACUUGUGCUAAUACCGGAUAAGUCUUUACGGAGAAAGCUUUAUGCACCAUUGGAUGAGCCUGCACUUGAUUAGUUUGUUGGUAGGGUAAUGGCCUACCAAGACUGUGAUCAAUAGCUGAUUUGAGAGGAUGAUCAGCCACAUUGGGACUGAGACACGGCCCAAACUCCUACGGGAGGCAGCAGUGGGGAAUCUUGCACAAUGGAGGAAACUCUGAUGCAGCGAUGCCGCGUGAGUGAAGAAGGCCCUUGGGUUGUAAAGCUCUUUCGUCGGGGAAGAAAAUGACUGUACCCGAAUAAGAAGGUCCGGCUAACUUCGUGCCAGCAGCCGCGGUAAUACGAAGGGACCUAGCGUAGUUCGGAAUUACUGGGCUUAAAGAGUUCGUAGGUGGUUGAAAAAGUUGGUGGUGAAAUCCCAGAGCUUAACUCUGGAACUGCCAUCAAAACUUUUCAGCUAGAGUUUGAUAGAGGAAAGCAGAAUUUCUAGUGUAGAGGUGAAAUUCGUAGAUAUUAGAAAGAAUACCAAUUGCGAAGGCAGCUUUCUGGAUCAUUACUGACACUGAGGAACGAAAGCAUGGGUAGCGAAGAGGAUUAGAUACCCUCGUAGUCCAUGCCGUAAACGAUGUGUGUUAGACGUUGGAAAUUUAUUUUCAGUGUCGCAGCGAAAGCGAUAAACACACCGCCUGGGGAGUACGACCGCAAGGUUAAAACUCAAAUGAAUUGACGGGGACCCGCACAAGUAGUGGAGCAUGUGGUUUAAUUCGAAGAUACGCGCAGAACCUUACCAACACUUGACAUGUUCGUCGCGACUUUAAGAGAUUAAAGUUUUCGGUUCGGCCGGACGAAACACAGGUGCUGCAUGGCUGUCGUCAGCUCGUGUCGUGAGAUGUUGGGUUAAGUCCCGCAACGAGCGCAACCCUCACUUUUAGUUGCCAUCAUUUAGUUGGGCACUCUGAAAGAACUGCCAGUGAUAAGCUGGAGGAAGGUGGGGAUGACGUCAAGUCCUCAUGGCCCUUACGUGUUGGGCUACACACGUGCUACAAUGGUAUCUACAACAGGAAGCAAAACGGCGACGUUAAGCAAAUCCUUAAAAGAUACCUCAGUUCGGAUUGCACUCUGCAACUCGAGUGCAUGAAGCUGGAAUUACUAGUAAUCGUGGAUCAGCGUGCCACGGUGAAUGCGUUCCCGGGUCUUGUACACACCGCCCGUCACACCAUGGGAGUUGGUUCUACCUUAAGGCAAGGUUUAAAACCCUUGACCACGGUAUAGUCAGCGACUGGGGUGAAGUCGUAACAAGGUAACCGUA
rnacentral:rRNA from 1 species